rnacentral:rRNA from 1 species
AGAGUUUGAUCCUGGCUCAGGAUGAACGCUAGCGACAGGCUUAACACAUGCAAGUCGAGGGGCAGCGGGGUAGUGCUUGCACUACCGCCGGCGACCGGCGCACGGGUGAGUAACACGUAUGCAACCUACCCUGAUCAGGGGGAUAAGCGGUGGAAACGCCGUCUAAUACCGCGUAUAUCUUCCGGGGGCAUCCCCGGGAGAAGAAAGGUAGUAAUACCGGAACAGGAUGGGCAUGCGGCGCAUUAGGUAGUUGGAGGUGCAACGGACCACCAAGCCGACGAUGCGUAGGGGUUCUGAGAGGAAGGUCCCCCACACUGGUACUGAGACACGGACCAGACUCCUACGGGAGGCAGCAGUGAGGAAUAUUGGUCAAUGGGCGGGAGCCUGAACCAGCCAAGUCGCGUGAAGGAAGAAGGUACUUAGUAUUGUAAACUUCUUUUGUCAGGGAACAAAAGUGAGGACGCGUCCUCAUAUGAGUGUACCUGAAGAAAAAGCAUCGGCUAACUCCGUGCCAGCAGCCGCGGUAAUACGGAGGAUGCGAGCGUUAUCCGGAUUUAUUGGGUUUAAAGGGUGCGCAGGCGGAAGGUCAAGUCAGCGGUAAAAUGUCGGGGCUCAACCCCGGCCGGCCGUUGAAACUGGUCAUCUAGAGUUGGAGAGAAGUAUGCGGAAUUCGUGGUGUAGCGGUGAAAUGCAUAGAUAUCACGCAGAACUCCGAUUGCGAAGGCAGCGUACCGGCGCCCAACUGACGCUCAUGCACGAAAGCGUGGGUAUCGAACAGGAUUAGAUACCCUGGUAGUCCACGCAGUAAACGAUGAAUACUCGCUGUCCGGGGAGAUUGGUCUCUGGGCGGCCAAGCGAAAGCGUUAAGUAUUCCACCUGGGGAGUACGCCGGCAACGGUGAAACUCAAAGGAAUUGACGGGGGCCCGCACAAGCGGAGGAACAUGUGGUUUAAUUCGAUGAUACGCGAGGAACCUUACCCGGGCUCAAACGACGGAUGAAUACUUUUGAAAGGAGGUAGUCCUUCGGGACAUCCGUCGAGGUGUUGCAUGGUUGUCGUCAGCUCGUGCCGUGAGGUGUCGGCUUAAGUGCCAUAACGAGCGCAACCCCCAUCGCCAGUUGCCAACAGGUAAAGCUGGGAACUCUGGCGAGACUGCCGGCGCAAGCUGUGAGGAAGGCGGGGAUGACGUCAAAUCAGCACGGCCCUUACAUCCGGGGCGACACACGUGUUACAAUGGCAGGUACAGAGAGAUGCGACACGGCGACGUGGAGCGGAACUGUCAAAACCUGUCUCAGUUCGGAUCGGAGUCUGCAACCCGACUCCGUGAAGCUGGAUUCGCUAGUAAUCGCGCAUCAGCCAUGGCGCGGUGAAUACGUUCCCGGGCCUUGCACACACCGCCCGUCA